rnacentral:misc_RNA from 1 species
GAAAUGCGAUAAGUAGUGUGAAUUGCAGAAUUCAGUGAAUCAUCGAAUCUUUGAACGCACAUUUCGCCCCUUGGUAUUCCAUGGGGCAUGCCUGUUCGAGCGUCAUUUGUACCCUCAAGCUCUGCUUGGUGUUGGGUGUUUGUCCCCGUCUCCGCGCGUGGACUCGCCCCAAAGUGAUUGGCAGCCGGCGUACUGGUCCCGGAGCGCAGCACAUGUCGCGCAAACGAGUGCCUUGGUACGGCGGCGUCCAUAAGCCCCUCUCUCACGCUCUUGACCUCGGAUCAGGUAGGGAUACCCGCUGAACUUAAGC